UGUUAAGAGGUCAGUGUUGAUCAGUGGCUGUCCAGGCCUUUCAGAGCCACUGACACACCAGCAGCACAAUGAUGAUGUCACUGACUCUACUGCUGACCACCCUGGGACUCCUGGUUCACGGUUCCUCAGCAGAAAUCACGCUGACUCAGACUCCAGCAUCUCAGUCUGUUGUUCCAGGACAGACUGUCUCCAUCACAUGUAAAGCCAGUGCUGCUGUUGAUGAUGAUUUGCACUGGUACCUUCAGAAAUGCACUUUCACAGCCGAUUUAGUCCUCAUCUGGACUCUCCUCUGCUGCUGCUUCACAGAGUCCAGAGGUCAGGUCACAGUGACUCAGCCUGCAGCAGUGACAGCUGAUCUGGGAGGAUCUGCCAGGAUCCGCUGUAGGACAGGUCACAAUGUUAAUGGCAACUACUUAUCCUGGUAUCAACAGAAAGAUGGACAACCUCCUAAGCUGCUCAUUUAUUAUACCAGCACUGCAGCAUCAGGGACUCCAAGUCGAUUUACAGGCAGUGGAUCAAACUCUGACUUCACUCUGACCAUCAGUGGAGUUCAGGCUGAAGAUGCUGCAGUUUAUUACUGCAUGGGUGAAUUCUACAUCAGCAGCACAUAUUCAUUCACACAGUGA